UGUUAUCUGAAGACAAUACGUGUCCAUUACUGUUUAAAUACACAAUAAGGGCCCACAAUGACAACUGGUCAAAAUGUUAAAAUUUUAGGAUUGUGAAGUUUUUAAUUUGGUUCAGUAUAUUUCUCUGUCUACAUAGAGUAUAAAUAUUUCUCUGCACAUGGGCUAUCAACUUUUCUGUGUACAUCAGGGGCGGUGGGGUAGCCUACUGGUUAAGGCAUUGGCCCUUCAUGUUGAAGACCCGAGUUUGAUUCCCCACAUGGCUAAAGUGUGCAUAAAACCAUGCUCACUCACUCACUCAUUGUGUACAUCACAGGCUAUUAAUAAUAUUUGUCUGUAAAUGGGGUAUCAAUAAUUCUUUCUGUGCAUGGGGUAUCAAUAUUUCUAAGAAUUGUAUGAACUAACUCGGCUUGUAUAUCUGCGUGUGUUAAAAACACUAAAUCCUUGCAUAUAGGACCAUGAUUCUCAGUCAUCGACUCCUCACCAAACUCAUCCUUUCAUAAAAGCUCUAGCUGAAGGUGUAUAAGAUCAUUCAGCUUGUGAAAUCCAGUACAUCCAUAAAUAGAUAACACAUGUAACACAUCGACUUGGGUGAAAAAUAUUUUUGUGACAAUAUCAGGUUUGCCAGUGGGCUGGGUAUGGAAAGGAGGUAUGUGAACAAGGUAAACUGUGACGCAAGAUGACGUUUAUAUGAAACACUGUGAUGUCAUGAUGUUCGUACAGGCUGACUGACUUGUAUGGGUUUUAAUAGAAGGCGACUACCCUUUCCGUUAGUUGUAUUGUAUUACGUGUGUAAUCGUAGUGUUUGAUAUGAUGCAUGCAUACACAGGGAAAGGAUUGGCAGAAUUUGUUUUUUAUAUGUUGGUUUCCUACUUUCUGAAACUAUUUUGUGUGUUAUACAGACGUGUCUUGUGAAACUUUGCAGUGUCAUUCGGGACAAGCAGGGUGGCCUUGAAGUGCAUGCACUCUUUAUACACAGCACCAGGGUACAUCAAGCCCCACCUCAUGUCCAAGGGCAGAUCCAGCAUUUUUAAAAGGAAGGGGUCCAAUAUAACAAAAUCCUCUCUCAGAUUAUUUUACUGCCUACAACUUACUACAGUUGGUUUUCAAAAGGGGGAGUCCGGACCCCCCCCCCCCCCCUCUGUAUCUGCCUAUCCAUAUCCGCUGUCUAGAAUCAGUGUCAGCUGUCUGGAAUCAGUGUCUGCUGUCUAGAAUCAGUGUCUGCCGUCUAGAAUCAGUGUCUGUUCUCUAGAAUCAGGGUCUGCUGUCUGGAAUCAGUGUCUGCUCUCUAGAAUCAGAGUUUGCUGUCUGGACAGGCUGGAGUUUUGGUGGAAGCACCAUUUCCCCACACACUCACCAAGUCACUUCACAUUGCAUCUCAUUCACAUUCCCAUCCUUAUUCAACACUAUCACCUCAUUUGUACAAACAUCCCAUUGUCUUCAUCUUCACACGAUGUAAAUACCCACUGAGUAAAUACAACAUUAUAUAACACAGAUGUAUAGUCCUAUGUAUAUAUAACACAUGUUCAGGGCUAGAGAACAAUGUACAGCUAGUGUAACAUGUACUAUGCAGUAUUUUGGUGAAUGUUAGCCAAGAAUGAUCAUUUGAAAGGUUGCAUUUACUUCCUGACCUCUGUCUCCCUGUCUCCCACCUAAGUAGCUGAUAGGUUCGUAACACCUGCUCCAGAACGUGGCUGGUCAUUUGCCGCCAUUAGAUCCACUUUGCAUACUCAAACAUGUUUGCAGUGUUACACAGAUAGACCACAUAACAUACCAGAAUUAUAAGAAUGUUGAAAUGUUUGCCCUAAAGUUUUGUUUGUAACAUGACCCACACCCCUUCAACUGCUCUGCGAUCAUAUCAUACUCGUGCAUCUCCGUGGGGAAUCCCACCUGGAUUUUGUUGGCCUUUGGGUGAGAUACAAUUCCUGCCAUAUUGCUAGUUUAUAUGGAGCAUUGUGAACAGUGAAUCGUCUAUACACAUUGUUGCUGUAUAUCAUGGUGCUGUUUAGGCUCUGAAUGGAAUUUGGGUUUGAAUAUAUUUGUAUUUUGUCUUGUCAUGUUUUGUGACUGUUACCUUGUUGCCUGUAUGGUCCCUGUUGAUCACUGUUACUAGAACACUGCCUAGGGGUGGGUAUUUGUGAAAAUACCUGUACUGCUGGCUGAAUUGUACAGAGUAGACAUGGUACUGUUGGGCUGCAGCAUCAAGCUGCUGUGUGUAGGGGGGGAGGGGGGGAGGGGGGGUCUUGUUCAGAGGAUAUCGGGCCAGUGAGGGUAGGGGCAGGGCUGAGUCAGGUCCGUGAGUGAAGAGCAGGGCUAAGUCAGGUCAGAGAGUGUGGGGCAGGGCUGAGUCAGGUCAGAGAGUGUGGGGCAGGGCUGUAAGGUCUGUGAGCAUGGGGCAGGGCCGAGUCAGGUCCGUGAGCAUUGGGCAGGGCUGAGUCAGGUCGAUGAGCAUGGGGCAGGGAUGAGUCAGGUCCGUGAGUGUGGGGCAGGGCUGUAAGGUCUGUGAGCAUGGGGCAGGGCCGAGUCAAGCCGUGAGCAUUGGGCAGGGCUGAGUCAGGUCGAUGAGCAUGGGGCAGGGAUGAGUCAGGUCCGUGAGCAUGGGGCAGGGCUGAGUCAGGUCCCUGAGCAUGGGGCAGGGCUGAGUCAGGUCCGUGAACGUUGGGCAGAGCUGAGUCAGGUCAGGGAGCAUGGGGCAGGACUGAGUCAGGUCAGAGAGUGUGGGGCAGAGCUCAGUCAGGUCAGAGAGCAGGGGCCCUUGUUGUAUCAUCAGUCACUGUGUUGUCAGUCCACACCUAUUUCUCUAAUUUUAUAUAAGCAGGUCUUGAUGCCACUUGUUGAAAUAUUCUAUCAAAUGACCAUUUAAUAAAUGUUUUGUUGAUAUUAA
rnacentral:lncRNA from 1 species